rnacentral:rRNA from 1 species
GAUGAACGCUGGCGGCGUGCCUAAUACAUGCAAGUCGAGCGAACGGACGAGAAGCUUGCUUCUCUGAUGUUAGCGGCGGACGGGUGAGUAACACGUGGAUAACCUACCUAUAAGACUGGGAUAACUUCGGGAAACCGGAGCUAAUACCGGAUAAUAUUUUGAACCGCAUGGUUCAAAAGUGAAAGGCGGUCUUGCUGUCACUUAUAGAUGGAUCCGCGCUGCAUUAGCUAGUUGGUAAGGUAACGGCUUACCAAGGCAACGAUGCAUAGCCGACCUGAGAGGGUGAUCGGCCACACUGGAACUGAGACACGGUCCAGACUCCUACGGGAGGCAGCAGUAGGGAAUCUUCCGCAAUGGGCGAAAGCCUGACGGAGCAACGCCGCGUGAGUGAUGAAGGUCUUCGGAUCGUAAAACUCUGUUAUUAGGGAAGAACAUAUGUGUAAGUAACUGUGCACAUCCUGACGGUACCUAAUCAGAAAGCCACGGCUAACUACGUG